CACGUAGGCGGAUAUUUAAGUCAGGGGUGAAAUCCCAGAGCUCAACUCUGGAACUGCCUUUGAUACUGGGUAUCUUGAGUAUGGAAGAGGUAAGUGGAAUUCCGAGUGUAGAGGUGAAAUUCGUAGAUAUUCGGAGGAACACCAGUGGCGAAGGCGGCUUACUGGUCCAUUACUGACGCUGAGGUGCGAAAGCGUGGGGAGCAGACA
rnacentral:rRNA from 1 species